rnacentral:rRNA from 1 species
UGGGGAAUCAUGGUCAAUGGGCGAAAGCCUGAACCUGCGACGCCGCGUGAGUGAUGAAGGUCGUAAGAUCGUAAAACUCUUUUCAGGGAUCUUAAAGCCUGUCUGUCAACAACAGGCAGGUCUGACUCUCCCUGGAAGAAGCCCCAGCCAACUACGUGCCAGCAGCCGCGGUAAUACGGAGGGUGCGAGUGUUAUUCGGAAUCACUGGGCGUAAAGCGAACGUAGGCGGAUUGGCAAGUCAGAUGUGAAAGCCCGGGGCUCAACCUCGGAACUGCAUUUGAUACUGCUUGUCUUGAGUAUGGUAGAGGUGGGUGGAAUUCCCGGUGUAGAGGUGAAAUUCGUAGAUAUCGGGAGGAAUACCUGAGGCGAAGGCGACCCACUGGGCCAUUACUGACGCUGAGGUUCGAAAGCGUGGGUAGCAAACA